rnacentral:rRNA from 1 species
CUACGGGCGGCACCAGUGAGGAAUUUUGCGCAAUGGGGGAAACCCUGACGCAGCAACGCCGCGUGAGUGAAGAAGGCCCUUGGGUCGUAAAGCUCUGUCAACAGGGAAGAAGUUACUUUGUAUUAAUAGUAUGAGGUAUUGACGGUACCUGUGAAGGAAGCACCGGCUAACUCCGCGCCAGCAGCCGCGGUAAUACGGGGGGUGCAAGCGUUAUUCGGAAUUAUUGGGCGUAAAGGGCACGCAGGCGGUCCUGUCAGUCAGAUGUGAAAGCCCGGGGCUCAACCCCGGACGUGCAUUUGAAACAGCAGGACUUGAGUACGGGAGAGGAAAGGGGAAUUCCUGGUGUAGAGGUGAAAUUCGUAGAUAUCAGGAGGAACACCGGUGGCGAAGGCGCCUUUCUGGACCGAUACUGACGCUGAGGUGCGAAGGCGUGGGUAGCGAACGGGAUUAGAUACCCUUGUAGUC